rnacentral:rRNA from 1 species
GAUGAACGCUAGCUACAGGCUUAACACAUGCAAGUCGAGGGGAAACGACAGAGGAAGCUUGCUUCCUUUGGGCGUCGACCGGCGCACGGGUGAGUAACGCGUAUCCAACCUUCCCGCAAGUAAGGGAUAACCCGUAGAAAUGCGGCCUAAUACCUUAUGUUUUCCUUAGAGGGCAUCUGAUGAGGAACAAAGAUCCGUCGCUUGCGGAUGGGGAUGCGUCUGAUUAGUUAGUCGGCGGGGUAACGGCCCACCGAGACGACGAUCAGUAGGGGUUCUGAGAGGAAAGUCCCCCACAUUGGAACUGAGACACGGUCCAAACUCCUACGGGAGGCAGCAGUGAGGAAUAUUGGUCAAUGGGCGGAAGCCUGAACCAGCCAAGUAGCGUGCAGGACGACGGCCUAUGGGUNAAACUGCUUUAUGCGGGGAUAAAGGUGGGCCACGCGUGGCC